GUGCCGGUCUUGAGAGUGAAGCAAAUGUUGGGGAGGAACCAGAAAUUUGUGAUGAUAAUGAUAGAGAUACAUCUUCUCAGGCUGAACACACCGAGGAACCCGGUGUAAGUGUACGUACAUUUGUCUUUCUUAUUUCCCGUGUACGUAUAAGUACUGAUUGUUUCAGACAUAACAAAAUAGAGGAUAUAGCCGAUGAAAUUGAUAACUACUGCCACAGGUUGAUGCGGGAGAUGUACCCAAUGUAGUUCCAGAGAGUAAAGUGGAUGACUCAGUACUUGAGGGCACCCCUAGUGAUCCCCCUUCACCAUUUGCAGUAGUUAAGAAUGUAAGCUAACUAUAUUUAUAAAUAAAAUAGUGUAGGCUUGUUUAAAUUUAUAAUCUUCUAUUAUGCAGGUGUUACAGGAGUUGGCAACGAAAGCCUCCAUGGAUGUGGAU
rnacentral:lncRNA from 1 species